rnacentral:lncRNA from 1 species
CCUACAGACUAGUACUACCUCCAGAACUUUACAAGGUCCAUAAUGUGUUUCAUGUGUCCAUGCUAUACAAGUACAAUCUGAACCCCUCUCAUGUCUUGGCCUACGAGCCUUUUCUACUCUAGGAGGAUCUGUUUUACGAGAAGUACUGGUUGACAUUGUGGAUCGAAAGAGCAUAUUACUCUACAACCAAAAAAUUCUAUUUGUAAAGGUCAUAUGGCAGAACCACACAUCGAGAGAGGCUACAUGGGAGCUAGAAUCAGACUUCAGAGU